rnacentral:RNase_P_RNA from 1 species
CAAGUAAACCGGGCGACCGCCCCGUUUUAACGGGGAGGAAAGUCCGAGCUCCACCGGGCAGGAUGCUGGAUAACGUCCAGGAGGGGUGACCCUACGGCUUAGUGCCACAGAAACAUACCGCCCGCCUCAGGCGGGUAAGGGUGAAAUGGCGAGGUAAGAGCUCACCGGCGCGCCGGGUAACCGGCCGGCUGGGCAAACCCCAUCCGGAGCAAGACCAAAUAGGGGGACCUGGGUGCCCGGCCUUUCCCCGGGUUGGUCGCACGACCCUGGCGGUAACACCAGGGCUAGAUAGAUGGUCGCCGUCCGCCUCAGGCGGAUACAGAACUCGGCUUAUAGGUUUACUUGGCCA